AUUGAACGCUGGCGGAAGGCAUAAAACAUGCAAGUAGAGCGGAGCGGCGGACGGGAGAGUAAUGCCUAGGAAUCUGCCUGGUAGUGGGGGAUAACGUCCGGAAACGGGCGCUAAUAACGCAGACUAUCAGAUGAGACUAGGUCGGAUUAGCUAGUUGGUGGGGUAAAGGCAUACCAAGGCGACGAACCGUAACUGGUCUUAGCGGAUGAUCAGUCACACUGGAACUGAGACACGGUCCAGACUCCUACGGGAGGCAGCAGUGGGGAAUAUUGGACAAUGGGCGAAAGCCUGAUCCAGCCAUGCCGCGUGUGUGAAGAAGGUCUUCGGAUUGUAAAGCACUUUAAGUUGGGAGGCGUUACCAACAGAAUAAGCACCGGCUAACUUCGUGCCAGCAGCCGCGGUAAUUC
rnacentral:rRNA from 1 species